rnacentral:lncRNA from 1 species
GCCUGUCUGCCUCCUAAGCAGCUGAGAUUGUUUCCCCACUACAGAUGAGUGAUAAGCUGACUGCACCCUCACGGAUAAUUCUAUCAAGGCCACCAGGAUGCAUCACAGUCCUGACCCCAAUGCAGGAGACUGAAAGUCACCAAGGACUGAGACAUGCUGUCGAGCCACAAUCAGAAGAGAAACUGGAGUUGAAGAAGAGCCAGGUCUGGCCACACAGAGAAGUGAAAACCUCCAUUUAAUGGUCAGAGGCAAAGUACAAAGUUAGGCAUCAGAGAAGUGUUCCGUUUUGGUCACUAUUAUUUCUUAAGAAUCUUUCUGAACACUCCAGAACUAAAGGACUAGAAGUCCAGGGCCCUUGCUCUCAGUGUCUGAUUAGCUGCUGUCAUCUGCCUCGAAAGCUGCCCCAUGGUUUUUUCCAUCCUUGCUAGCAGCACAAACCAACUGGUUUAGCCUAACAUUGAUAAAACUACAGAAUCU